UACGUAGGGUGCUAGCGUUAAUCGGAUUUAUUGGGCGUAAAGGGCGCGUAGGCGGAGAUGUAAGUCAGACGUGAAAGCCCGGGGCUUAACCUCGGAACAGCGCUUGAAACUGCAUCCCUAGAGGAUAAGCGGAGAAAAUAGAAUUCCACAAGUAGCGGUGAAAUGCGUAGAUAUGUGGAGGAAUACCGGUGGCGAAGGCGAUUUUCUAGUUUAUACCUGACGCUAAAGCGCGAAAGCAGGGGGAGCAAACAGG
rnacentral:rRNA from 1 species